rnacentral:lncRNA from 1 species
GGAAUGCAAAAUAUCAAAAUUUGUCUAAUUGUAACUUUGCAUAUAAUGUAAUAAACAGAAAAAUAACUUUUGCGGAUAUCCUGUUUGUUUAUGUACAUGAGGCUUAUCUACAGAAUUCCAUCUAAUCGGCUGCUCACAUCGUAAGAAGCUUGAUAACUCUGAUGUACUUAUAAAAUAUUUAUUAUAGUGUUGGCAUCUACAAAUUAUUUCUGUUUUGUUGUCUUACUUUUGGAGAGGAGCAGUUAUAUGCUUAUUUAUGAAGUGGAGCAUAUUGCUUGUAAUUAUUACUAAGUCUCUGGACGUGAAUUUAUACUUAAAUGGAUGCUUUUGCUGUUGUUUUCGCACAUUACAAUUUUUAUUCUGGGAUAUUUCGUGAGGGUGUCGCCUGAAGCUCUCUCUGGAUCAGUCUAAAAUUUUGUUCUUAUGUAUAUUGAAGUAAGCUGGAAUUAUCUAGGAAUUUGUUAAUUACAAUGACUUUAAAAAUUACUUCAUUUUACUUUAUAGUUUUCCAUUGUAUGCAACAUUCACUAACAUAAUAUUCUCCAUAAAUAUUUAUAUACAUUUGGUGAAGAUUAGUACUGACAGUGGCAUCGAAGUUUCGGCCUGCUAAGCCAUCAUCGGUCUAUGAUGCAUUUGAGGUGAUUUUGGCUAUAUAUAGACUGUAUUAGGUUAAAAUUAGAAAUGGUUAGCUGAGUUCCGUUGAUUGAUAAUGAGAUUGCAACAUAUGUUGUGAUGUCAUGUAUUAUGCACAUUUUUUCAUUGAUUAAACUUCGUGAAGUGCUAUUGUUUAGAAUUUUUGUCAUACAUGUGGGAUUUUACAAUCAGUUGAGUACAUUUAUGUGUAUUAUCUUCAGGUCAGAGUAGUUCAUAAAAUGAGAUAAGAAGGUGAUAAGCUUUAGUUUGUUUUCAAGCAUGCAUUCUGGUUUUCUCUCGUUUUCACUUACUUUUAUUGGGAGGGUGCUGGUUAUCACUUAACUGUGUCAGAGUGUUACACAUACAUACAUAUAUAUAUAUAUAUAUGUGUGUGAUGUGUGUGUGUGUGUGUAUGUAUGUAUAUAUACACAGAUACAUGCAUACAUGAAGAUAUAUAUAUACAUUUAUAUACAUAUACAUAUGAUUAUAUAUAUUUUUAUAUAUUUUUAUAAAAAUGUUCCGUGAGAGGAUAUAUAUAUAUAUAUAUAUAUAUACACAUAUGUAUAUAUAUAUAUAUAUAUAUAUAUAUAUAUAUAUAUAUAUAUAUAUAUAUAUAUAUAUAUAUAUAUAUAUAUAUAUAUAUACAUAUAUAUUAUAUACACGUCUGAGUGUCUGUGUGCAUUUGUAGCUAUGUCUGUAUGCAUGUAGACUUUAACGUCUUCCAGUUUAUCUUAGGUCUUCUAAUACCCGCCAUAUUGUGCUUAAAUACUUAUUAAUUAUUUAAUGACGCCACCAACAAAGGCUCAGCAAGCAAAUUAGUCUAGCCAUUACAGUUUGUUAUUGCUGUAAGGAUAGCUAUUUGCUGUGUGUUCUAUCCGUUGCCAGAGCAAUGAGAUGGUACUUGCUUUUUGAUCAGCGGUACGCGAAUCGUGAAAUAUGUCAGUGCACACAUCCCACUUACACACUCAAACUACAUAUACACAAAACAUAUACACAAACACACGCCCGUGCACACAUAUACAAAUUUUCUUAAUUAUUUUCAAAUCUCUCAAUGUUACUAGAGGUUCAAACCCACACGCAUGUACAUAAAAGGAAACUGAUGCACGCAGUAUUAAAUACGCAUUUACACACCCCACCCCAAAUCUCUCUCCCUCCCUCUCUCUCUCACACACACACGCAAACACACACAUACACAAUGACUGACACGUACAUGCGCACACACACAUAAAAUCAUGCACAUAUAUACAAUCAUACAUACAUGUAUGUAAUUCUCUUUCUUUACCUUCUCCAGCUUUCACCUCAUAAUCGAUAUAUCUAUUGUCACUAUUUCUCACCUGAAACAUCUACGCCCAAAUCCGUGUGUCUGUAUGUAUAUAUAUAUAUAUAUAUAUAUAUAUAUAUAUAUAUAUAUAUAUAUAUAGUGUGUAUGUGUGUGUGUGUGUGUCUAAGUAUAUAUAUAUAUAUAUAUAUAUAUAUAUAUAUAUAUAUAUAUAUAUACAAACAUACAUACAUACAUACAUACAUACAUACAUACACAUAUGUAUGUGUCAUAUGAUAGUAUUAGAAUGUGUUUCCUUUGUAGUCUCUUCGUUAUCCGUGGUUUCACAAAUCACGUAUGAGAAACCAGAUCUGACCACUAAACAUUCUAUUCAACAUUAACUAUUUAUAUCAGAUAUAAUUUCGACUUUGCUAAUAAUGUUUUUAUCUCUAAUUCGUCGCAUGUUUAAUUAAUCAACUACAUAUACAUAUUAAACAUACAUUUGUUUACCUGUGUUCAUAGCCCCACUUGCACCUAUAUAUUUAUAUACCUCCAUUGAGACUCUGUGUGGACCCAUACGUGCGCUUAUAUAUAGAGAGGAUAUGUUUA